UACAGAGGGUGCGAGCGUUGUCCGGAAUCAUUGGGCGUAAAGGGCGCGUAGGCGGCCUGGCAAGUGGAAGGUGAAAUCCCUCGGCUUAACCGAGGAACUGCCCUCCAAACUGCUUGGCUUGAGUCCGGGAGAGGUGAGUGGAAUUCCCAGUGUAGCGGUGAAAUGCGUAGAUAUUGGGAGGAACACCAGUGGCGAAGGCGGCUCACUGGACCGGAACUGACGCUGAGGCGCGAAAGCGUGGGGAGCAAACGGG
rnacentral:rRNA from 1 species